AUCUGACAGACAUAACAUAGUCAGGAUAGGGCUCCGACCUACCCAUAAGUCUAUAUAUAAAUUCAAAACAUAAGGACCUCUAGGCUCGGCUACACUCCAGAUGAUAUGGAGUCUACCGAUCAACAAAUGGAACUGAAAUUAUUUGUUAUGGGGGGGUCCGUCAAACUGCCUACUGAAACCUGCUGCAUUUCAGCAGCGUCUCCGGCCAAAGGGAUGUCAAUACGAAAUAAGAUACCGAGUAUGUAAGGCAACUGAAUAAUCAUAAAUAAGUACUGCAAUCAAAUAAAAGAAUUCUGAAGGAAGAUAACCGGAUAAAACAAGGGGUCAAAUCACCUGGAGAUCAGAGCUCACUCAUACAGUAAGUCUAGAAGGUCAUAUACUAGUCUUACCAAACAGGACCCGUAGCAUUGCUAUGUAGCUUUGUUUUCCUGAAUUUUCUAUAACAACAUCUCACAGCUUAUACCAUGUCUAGUCUAUCAUAUGUCAGUCACAUGAACACAUAAAACCGAAAUGCUAAUUACUCGUGUCGUCUCAUACGUAUGUGCUAGCUAUCAGACUCGUAAGUCUGUACUUUCCUGGAAUAAGCCGGUACUUCUGGACUAGUGUAUCCUUCAUUUAUCGGGCUAUCAUGCCUGUAUCUGCCAGGCUAGCGCUCAUGUACUACCAGGUCACUAGACGCGUCUGUUGUACGUAUUUAUCGUACAAAUAACAUGCCUCAACAAGUAGAGUUCUCAUAUAACUUCUACUAAGGUAAUCAAAUCAUACUACAAGCAAUAACUAUCAACAAAAGGCAAUCUCAUCAUUUCUGCAAUCGUCUACAACAAACAGCUCACAUAGUGCCAACUUGUGUCGUCAUGAUACCGAAGUCCUCAUAAGGAAGCACUAUAGCUCAUAGACGUCUUCUAAAUAGGAUAAGAAGCUACGAACAAACAUUUGAAAUUGGACCUACAAAGGUGCUACCAGUUAAGGCAUGUACGGGCUAUAAAGGCAUGAGUAGAGCAACCCUUAACGACGGUCGUUUUGAUAUAUGAAUACUUACGAGGGAGUCGUUGUGGUUCAUAUGCAUUUUCGGAUAGAAACAAGGGAUUACUACUGAACAUGUGGAACUCGUGACCUUGGGGCAAUCUCAAGUAAGGAAUGUAUGCAACUAGCUAAUACAUGGGUAGAACAACUCGCAUUAAAGGUUGUUAUACUAAGAAGGUUUUUAUGAGGGAGAUGUUAUAGCUCAAUAACACUCACCGGAAAAGAACAUGGGUUGUGAAGAGUUAUAUGAAACACAUUCUAUUAGGGCGACAUCAAGUAAAAACAUAAGGAGCCGUUGAAUGACGAGUAUAACAUUUCGAAGCAUUUCAUUUUGGAACUCACUUUUCUGGAGGGGAAACUCACUAUAGAUUCAUGCCUAGGAAGAGGAUAACGAAUAGCCUUACAUACCUCUAAGCUGACCUUUUCACGUUGAUGACGGAACUAGCCUUCUCCACAAAUCACGCUACACAAGAAACAAUACUAUUAUUAAUGAAGAGAAGCAUAACAACUAGCCGACGAACGACAAACCGCUCUAUACAUUGAUUCUACAACAUAUAUCUUCGUCUAACUCCUGUCUAAUCCUCAUUACACCAUCAAUAACACAUAAAUAUACAUACCACAAAACCAGUCCCAACACGUCACACAACAAAUGAAACAACACUAGCAUCAACAGGAGAAACAUGCUAACUAACAAAUGAGCAACAAGCUUGCUUUACAUCAAAUCGGACAGCAUCGCCUCCGUUUCUUUUACAUCCCUCAAGUCAAGAACAACAUCAACACAACAACAAUCAACAACUAUAUGUCCAGCACAUGAAGAACAACCAGAACAAUCCCUCAAAACGUCACACAACAACACUCUGUACCCAACUUCAACAUAACCACCUCUAUUUGCAAUUUUAUCGCUAUCCAACCCAUCUAAAGCUCUAUUAAGCUCAAAUACAUGGAGAAGAAUGAUAUUCUUACCUUGGACGACAAGAAUCAACCCACUUAUGUCUUGCUUCAACUUGAAGUAACUUCAAUUCCAUAGCGCCAAAGGGAAGAACAAUCUAAACUAACAUCACAAAUUUUUUUAAAGGAGAAAUCACUUCCCAAGCUUGUAGAACUUCACUUGAAUGGUAGGGAACUGCCUUGGGAGUGUUUGGAGAGGGUGAGGAUCAAUUUCGGUCGAAAAAUGAGGUUUAAUGGGGUCUCCACCGUUUAUAUAUAAUUGGAUAAGUUUCCACUGUCUAUGUGGGUCCCAAAGGGGGCUACCUAUGCAGUCUCGCAAAAACGCGAAUAUCUCUCUGCUCCGACGCCGUAUCGACAAACGGUUUAUGUUGGAAACUAGACUUUAGACUCGUAGGCCUUCAAUUUGGUGGGUGGAUGACCCCGUAACUCCAAUUAUAUUGGGAGAAAAGUUAAGUGACAUUAGACCCAAAUUUCAAUAAACUUAUGAACGUAAAUUGCGAUAACUUUUGCCGACUUUCGACGAAACUUACUUUCUUCGAUUCGUUUAACUUCUAAACUGUCCAACAUGUGUUGUUCAUGGUUUUAAACACUUAUAAAAUUGAGAAUAGUCUUGCUCUCCGAGCUUACGUCGACUCACUUACGACGCACUUCAACGUACGAAAGUACGGGAUGUAACAACUGCUCAGUGUUCUGUGAUAUUUCUAGAGCACCAUCUGCUUCUGAUUUUUCAUUGUUUUUCUUUGGGGGACAGGGGACAGGGUUAGCUGCUGGUAUUCAUCCGUUUCAUCUGACCCCUGUCCCCUAGGUGUCUCUCACCCUCUCACUUUCCAGUUAUUUCCGCUAGCAACUGGUUUUUGCCUAUUUCUAGCUAUCUUAAAUUCCCUAGAGAGGUUCUCAUAUCAUGUAAAGACAGAAUUGCAAGAUGAAAACUCGGCAUGCAUCAAAUUCUUCUGGUAUAAUAAGACCAAAUAUGAGCAUGAUAUAUUUCUAAUAUUGAGAUCUCAGAUUUUUCUUUCUUCAUAAAUUUGGUACUGAGAAAGUACAGAAGUUUGCUGGAUUUGAAUCUUAUCAGUGUAGAAAUUCCGUGAAAUCAAACUAUAUCAUUUACAAAAGGAGCCCUAUACCAAAAUUUUCAGAUUCUGGAUAGAUCUAUAUUUAACUAAUGUAGCAUUCUCCUACCUACCUUCACGCACCUAUGUGUUCUCUCUGGCCAAAUUGUCCAAAGAAUACAUAAAGAGAUGGUUUUCUGUAUCAGCUUCCGCUCUUGUUCGCUGCCCCUGCCAGCUGCUCAAUACUUAUCUUAGGUUACCUGGCAUUAUCAAUUGAAUCCCAUAAAGAUUUAGGAACAUACACCAAUUCUGCUCGACAUGUUUUUUGAGCAAUUACCAAAUCUUCCAUACAUUAUACAUAUUUACAAUAUCAACAAAUGAUUCACAACUUCCGAGUUCUCUUUGCAUAAGCAGCACCAACUGCAUAAGUUUAAGGCUCUCUUCUUGCAAAUUUUCCUGUGUCAGACACGUUUGAUGUGCAGUUAUCUAUCCAAAGCGUGCUACCUUGCUUGUAGCAUUUUGUUUCCAGAUUAUCUUGCAUAGCCAUUCUGUACUUUGCCUAGAGGAUUUUUGUUUUCUUUUGACAAACUAAGCCCUAAGGUAACCAUUACCAUGUAAAAAUACAGAAAAAGGUCUAUGUUCUUCCAUGACCAUGCAGUAUCUAGUGGAAUACCUUGCCAGUAGUUCGUAAUGGGACUUCGUAGAAAGUUUUUCAUCCUUUCUACCUGUCCAGCACAUAGUUUCAUUGUGUGUCCUGUGGAGUAACUCCUUCAACCAUUCUCAGCAGGUCUUUUAAUCGUUCUACUGCUGGAUGCCCCAAUCGUUAAAAUUUCUUUUAAAUUGGAAAUUCCAACUACUUACAUACCAGCAAUCUGCAAUGCAACAAUUUCUGUUAACCACGAGGCUGUACAAAUUAGGGAAGAUUUCUGCUGAGGUAUUUUCCCCUAUUUUUUGCUACACUAUUAAUUUUAUUAACAUUUGGGCACAAAAAAUUCAAAUAUACAAGAAAUAUGCCUAAAGGUAGAAAAUAAAUUUUUUUAGCUUUCAACGUACGACACACAAUCUUCUUCUAUACAUAAAGGAACCUCAUGGGUGCACCAAAAAGGAAAUAAGGAAUUAAAGGUUAUUCCACCAUUGUACAAAGUUGAAGUAAGGAAUAAGGAAUAAAAGCUCUCCUCUAUUUCUCGCGAAACGACCCAUAUAAGUGCUAGUAGAGCAACAUCGCACGCCAUGCGUCCUCUCUUCGAUCUACCACAGUUCGAGCCGAACAUUACUUCAUUUAGAGUGCGCCAAUCACUUAAAUUAUUCCAAACUAUCUCAAAAUAUCCCACCAUCAGUGUUGUCAAAGGCGAAAAGCUCUAACAAGCGCUCUAGGACUAUUGGGGCUUUAAGCGCAAAGAGCAAUUAAAGUGUGGGCUUUAGUUAAAAAAAAAAAAAAAAGCACAAUGAAGGAUGGUAUUAAAUAUAUGUGUAAUUCAAGAAAAUUAGGGUAGAAGGAUAGUAGGUAGUCGAGCAUUUUUCUUUUUCUUUCUCAGACCGGUAGCAUUAGUGUUAAUAUGGUAUCCUUUUAUUCAAAGAUUGCUAUUACUACCUACUGUUUUAUUGUUAUUAUCUUGCUGUUGCUAUUACUUGUUGCUACUGCUUCUUUCCAUCUUUUGUUUAGCCGAGGGUCUAUCGUAAACAACCACUCUGUCCUCCCAGGGUAGGGGUAAGGUCUGCGUACACACUACUCUCCCCAGACCCCACUUUGUAGAAAUUCACUGGUUUGUUGUAAUUCAGGAAAAAAGUAACAAAUUCACUUAUAACGUUUUCCUUAACAACUAAUACACUUAUUUGCCGAUCAUUGUUGUUUUUUAGUAUUGCUUGAUUCAAGAUAGAACUCGUGGGUAAUAAGGCGCGUGCCUUAGUACCUUGCCUACACUUAAGCACCGCUUAGGCAAGGCUUAUCACCCUCCUUGAGCUUUACUAAGCUUCAAGGCUUAAGCGCGCCUUAAAUGAGCCUUUGAAAACAUUGUCCGCCAUAGCCUCAAGGCUAUCAAACAAUGAACGCGGAGAUUUUUGACGUCUUCACCGACUCUCUUAUAUAAAGCACCAAAUGAUGUACGUAACCUUCCUCUUUAUUAUAUUCUCUGCUGUCAAGAUCUAUGUUGCUCGGACUCUUCACUUUGGGUGCUACACCCGUGUUGGCAUGACGUGGGUGUGGGUGUGGGAUCCGUACCGGAUUUGGUCAACCGAUUUUGGGUACUUUGACCAAAGUCGACGGAGAAAUUCAGGACAUACACAAUGAUUUUUGAAAUUAAAACAAAAGUUAGGGUGAAAUUGAACAAAAUGGAAUACCUUUUACAUAGAAAUUUUCAUGUCAUGCCUUUCCUUUUAUCUCAUUCUCGGAUUCUCCUGUUGAUCAAUAUUUUCUCCUUCUCGAAAUACCUUAUAUGUUUUUCACAUAAUCUCUCAUAAUUUAAACAUAUUUUUAUAACUUUAUUUUUAGAUAUUUGAAUUAUUUUUAGCGGAAUUCCCCCACUCGUAUCCCUACCUGGAUUCGUAUCCCCGAAUCUUAAAAUUUAGAUCAUGAAAGAUCCGACCUCUAGAUCUGCACCCGUAUCAGACACCCGCACUCGAGUCCGAGCAACUUAGGUCUAGAUUACCCCUCUUACUGCUAGCCAAGUGAAAAAACACACCUUUUUGGGUACCUUACAGAUCUAAAUAGAUAUAUAUGGAAGGAAGCCUCCUCCGAACCAGGAGCUUCUCAUAAUAUGACUUAACCAAGAAUACUCCAUUGCUCCCCGCCCGCCCCAACCUCGAUACAUCGUGGUGGUUAUCCUUUGACGUGCCGUCUUUGUUAAAUAAACCGACUUAAGUUUUGAAAUUCUUCCACUUCUAGUCAUGAAAAUUCCUCCUAAAUCUCGGUAUCCCAUACCAUUUUUCCUCCCAAAUUUUGAUUUUCCUUCCAUCACCAACUUUCAACGUUUUUUUUCCCUUCUCAAACUCAUCUCGAAAACUACUAAUACGUUUUCAGAAUGAAAUCCAUGUGGAGCGUGAAUUGGAGUACUCUAUGGAUAUUGUGCACUUAUUUUUAUUUGAUGACCUCUUUGCAAUGCUUAUUUUUUCCAUUAUUCUAUCUCCAAAGCCAUUUAAAUAGGAGGCUUUCGUGAAGCCUGAGAUUCCUUAAUCCUAAUUUCUCAUCCUCUUUAUAUUGCAUCACUUUUCCCAUUUAAUCAGAUGCAUCUUUCUUCCUUCUUGAUUUCCUUUCCCUAGGAAUUCACUCUAAAAGAAUCUUGGAACAACCCCUAAAGGUGUUAUGAAGAAAUUUAAUCUGUUAGCAUAAUAACUUUAAUUGAUAGAAAAAUCUAUGAUGACCUAAAACAAUACCAUCUCGGGGAGUGUUUUAUUUUGCAUAUCUCGAGUUUAGAAUUCUCCUCACACUUUUUCCACCACGAUUUUCUCUUUUAGGAAACUCGUCUCCUUGAUUCUUCUCCUCAUUCAUUUUGUAUUUGACAUUGAGAUGUUUAUAUAAAGCAUUCUUUUCAACCUUACGGCAGCCAUGAUGGCAUGUGUGUUGCGCUGGGCAUAAGGGGCCUGACGACUUGACGUCAUCCUAACCUUACUCUACUCACCCUUUUCUAUCUUGGACGGAAUAGGAAUUAAUGACAUCAGGUAUGCUGGGAUGCUAUAAAGCUCACUAUUCACCAAUGACAAUUUUUCUCAAAAAGAUAGAUUUUGUUACUUCCACGUGGUUAGCCUUUUUUCCCAUUUUUCAAUGGACUUUUUCAUGUAUUACUGUCUUGUAUUUUGCGCAAAGUAGUAUUUCCAGAUACCUUGUUUCAGUUGUUCAACCUUGCAGCUCAAACUUAUCUGCUAGCUCUCGAAUAUUUCAUUAAAUAUUGUUUGAAAAUAAGUUGUUCUAUGAAGAUCUGUUACUGCCCUGAUUGCAACUAGGAUCCUUUUUAGAUGUAGUCUGCCUCUUGUUUGCAUCACACAAAACCGAAGUAUUGUCAGCAUAUUUUCCAAAAAUCUACCUUCCUUAUCAAUAUUCUGUAUCCACUUGACCAGUUCAUCUCCACAACUUGGGAUAACCGGAUAACAUUCUGUCGAGAGUCCCAUCACCAUGAUAAAAAGAUCAGCUGAUAAGCAUUCACCCUAUCUCAAACCUAUCUUCUUUGGGAGAGAAAAAGCUUUCAAGAUGUUGGAUUUCCACAUUGGUAGUGGAUGGGGGACUUGGUCCCCUCGUAUGGUCUUGAGCAAUUCUUACCUCAUGAGCUACAUUUUGGGGUCGAGUUAGACCCAGGAUCCAUUUCUUAUCAUGGUAUCCGAGCCAAACUGUCAUUAUUCCUAUCUGGUUUCCAGUGCUCUGCUUCCUUGAACAAAUUGGAACAAAUUCCAGUAUGUGCUCCUUUAUCACUUUUGCAUCUUCUAAUAGUACCCCUUAUUUCUAUUCUAUCAAUAGAAUUAUAUCUUUUAUGGGCAUUGGCUAUUCUAUGAAAGAGCCUUGUAUUUUUAUCCCCUUGCUGAAGUCACAAACAUCUACAUGAAAUUUCUUCCACUCUUUCUAUUUCCUCGAGCUCCACUUGUUGUCUGUUUUCAGGUGGCCCUGGAUGACUAGUACACGAGUUAGAUGUGUCACUGACUAGUAUAUGAGGGAUAUGUGUCUAUCUGUCAAAAAACAUGAUUGGUCUCAGACCUAUACUUUCUUUAAAUGGUUGAACCUGACUAGUCAGAAUAAGGCUCGUAUGCUAUUUGAGUUUCUAAGCUGUCCAAACUGUUAUCCUUUUCAGGUAGGUUUUGCAUAUAAAGUGAUUUCUGGAGUCAUGCCCAUGUUUAAUUGUGCUAUUUUAUGUGCAUGCUUCAUGCCACUUAAUGAUUAUUAGGAUCCCAAUUUUCUUGUUUUGUAACGCAGGUUAGAAGUUAGGCAAUUUAGUUGAGAUCUUGUUUUGCAUGAAUUGUUGUUUCCGAAUUGCUUAUAGUGAGGUUUGUGAAAUGGAAUCAUUUUUAUUCUUUUCUUUUUCUCUUCGGAAAUUCCAAUUCGAAUAACUGUACAAGUUUGACUUACAAGAUGUGCAGAUUGUUCCCUCAUUUUUAAGGAUUUUUCUUUGCCACUAAUAUGCAAAUGACCAUGAUCCUCGUCUUCUUCGGUGUAACUUUUCCACUUCUGCUCAGUGUUGUCUAAGUGUACUUGGUUGAGGUCCUAAUAGUGCUACCAUCUUUUCCAUUUCCCAGUGAAAAGAGCUUUUUCUAAACAUAUCUCCUAUAUCUCCUGCCCAUUCAAUGGACAAACUUUUUAGAACUGCAUUUUUGUAUCCUAGUAAGAAAUAUAAGAUGGUUUUGAUUUGAUUGUCAUCAUUUUACUUCAUUUAUAUAUGACUCACUGUAGCUUUUUUAAUUAAUUCAUCCAUAUAAUUGUUGUUCGGGUUAUUUACUUGCAAUAUCUCUCUUAUAUAUAUAUAUAUAUAUAGGUGUGUGUGCGCGCGCAUGCGUAUGCAUGUGUGUGUAUGUACAUAUAUAUGAGUGCAUGCAUGUGUGUGUGUGUGUGUGUGUUUGCGUACGCACAUGCAAUUCUUGUCAUAUGGAUUUCUUCACUAAAGAGUAUUAAUAAUGUUUUUAGCUUAGAGCUCUUGCGGAACUUGGCGCCUUUUUUCACUUUGUGCUUCUUGACAUCACCACUAUCGCUUCACUCAGCAAAGGAGAAGAGUAGCUUCUCUUAGUUGUUUAUUCCCACUCUGCUUCUCCAACUGGUUUUCCUAGUUCAUGGCAGGAUGAAGGUUGUCAAAUUGAUGCUUAGCUUAGUGAUUGGUUACAUCCACGGUGUUUAUUCAAGUGCACCAUUGAUAUACUCCAGGGAAGAGCAAAUAGAGUGUAUACUAGUAACAAGAGUAUGGAAAGAAAGCCCUUCACAAGAACUGAGACCAGUUUUAAAUUUUGAGGGUUUUGAUUGAUCCUUAUUCCUUAAUGCAGCAUGUUCUUCGACUAACAGG